GGCGGAGUGGUGGAAUAUUUGGUUAUACACACUGAGCUUAAAACUCAGCGCCUUCGGGAUUGGGAGUUCGAGUCUCCCCUCCGCUACCA
rnacentral:tRNA from 9 species